GGGUGCCAUGGAUGUGGAAUGAAAGAAGAGCCAGGGGAUGAUAAGAGCAAUGAAUCAGCAAGAAAAAGAGAUGGAUAAUUGGGAAACUUUGACAGACCCACUAAGUCACCAUUUCAUUCAGCACCCCACCAUCACCUUCAUGGCUUGCCUCUACCGCUACCUCAAUUCAUGCUUGUGGUCCUUCCUCUGCAAUCUAAUUCUAUAAUUAUGUCUCUUGUCUUCUUCUUGUUUUUUUCGUUUCCUAUUACCUAUUACUUUAUUAUUCCGUGUCAGAACUGAAAUAGAAACUUCAACUCUGCCAAACAAGUUUCAGGUGCUGCGUAUUUCAUGGAUAUCAUACAUACUCUAUCUCUG
rnacentral:lncRNA from 1 species